GACGAACGCUGGCGGCGUGCCUAACACAUGCAAGUCGAACGGACGAAGGGAGCUUGCUCCCUGAGUUAGUGGCGAACGGGUGAGUAACGCGUGAGGAACCUGCCUCAAAGAGGGGGACAACAGUUGGAAACGACUGCUAAUACCGCAUAAGCCCACAGCUCGGCAUCGAGCAGAGGGAAAAGGAGUGAUCCGCUUUGAGAUGGCCUCGCGUCCGAUUAGCUAGUUGGUGAGGUAACGGCCCACCAAGGCGACGAUCGGUAGCCGGACUGAGAGGUUGAACGGCCACAUUGGGACUGAGACACGGCCCAGACUCCUACGGGAGGCAGCAGUGGGGAAUAUUGCACAAUGGGGGAAACCCUGAUGCAGCGACGCCGCGUGGAGGAAGAAGGUCUUCGGAUUGUAAACUCCUGUUGUUGAGGAAGAUAAUGACGGUACUCAACAAGGAAGUGACGGCUAACUACGUGCCAGCAGCCGCGGUAAAACGUAGGUCACAAGCGUUGUCCGGAAUUACUGGGUGUAAAGGGAGCGCAGGCGGGAAAGCAAGUUGGAAGUGAAAUCCAUGGGCUCAACCCAUGAACUGCUUUCAAAACUGUUUUUCUUGAGUAGUGCAGAGGUAGGCGGAAUUCCCGGUAUAGCGGUGGAAUGCGUAGAUAUCGGGAGGAACACCAGUGGCGAAGGCGGCCUACUGGGCACCAACUGACGCUGAGGCUCGAAAGUGUGGGUAGCAAACAGG
rnacentral:rRNA from 1 species